AGAGGAUGAUCAGUCACACUGGAACUGACACACGGUCCAGACUCCUACGGGAGGCAGCAGUGAGGAAUUUUGCGCAAUGGGGGAAACCCUGACGCAGCAACGCCGCGUGAGUGAUGAAGGCCUUCGAGUCGUACAGCUCUGUCGAGUGGGAAGAACCUGCAUUGGAGAUAAUAUUCCGAUGCAUUGACGGUACCACUGGAGGAAGCACCGGCUAACUCCGUGCCAACAGCCGCGGUAAUACGGAGGGUGCAAGCGUAAUACGGAAUCAUUGGGCGUACAGGGCACGUAGGCGGUUAGCUGGGUCGGAUGUGACAUCCCGGGGCUUAACCCCGGAAGUGCAUUCGAAACUGGCAGACUUGAGUAUGGGAGAGGGAAGCGGAAUUCCUGGUGUAGAGGUGAAUUCGUAGAUAUCAGGAGGACACCGUUGCGAAGGCGUCUUCCUGGACCAAUACUGACGCUGAGUUCGGUAGCUUGGGUAGCAAACAGGAUUAGAUACCGUGGUGUUCACGCGUAGACGUGUACACUAGGGUAGCGGGGUAGUGAACGCGUGCGUGGGCCGGAGGUGACGCAUUAAGGGUGCCGCCUGGGGAGGUACGGCCGCAAGGGUGAGACUCAAAGGAAUUAGCGGGGGCCGGCACAAGCGGUGGAGCAUGUGGUUGAAGUGGACGCGAGGCGGAGAACCUUACCUGGGUUUGACAUCCCGGGAAUUCCGUUAUGAAAGUAUGGAGUGCCCUUCGGGGAGCCCGGAGACAGGUGCUGCAUGGCUGUCGUCAGCUCGUGUCGUGAGAUGUUGGGUUAAGUCCCGCAACGAGCGCAACCCUUGUCUUCAGUUGCCAGCGAUUCGGUCGGGGACUCUGGAGAUACUGCCCCGGUUAACGGGGAGGAAGGUGGGGAUGACGUCAAGUCCUCAUGGCCUUUUAUGCCCAGGGCUACACACGUGCUACAAUGGUCUGUACAAAGGGUGGCGAACCUGCGAAGGCAAGCCAAUCCCANAAAGCAGGCCUCAGUUCGGAUUGGAGUCUGCAACUCGACUCCAUGAAGUUGGAUCGCUAGUAAUCGCGGAUCAGCAUGCCGUGGUGUAUACGUUCCCGGGCAUUGUACACACCGCCCGUCACACCAUGAGAGUUGGCUGUA
rnacentral:rRNA from 1 species